rnacentral:rRNA from 1 species
UGAGGAAUAUUGGUCAAUGGGCGAGAGCCUGAACCAGCCACGUCGCGUGAAGGAAGACUGACCUUACGGUUUGUAAACUUCUUUUGUAGAGGGGUAAUGGCAGAUACGUGUAUUUGCGUGAAAGUACUCUACGAAUAAGCAUCGGCUAACUCCGUGCCAGCAGCCGCGGUAAUACGGGGGAUGCGAGCGUUAUCCGGAAUUAUUGGGUUUAAAGGGUGCGCAGGUGGCUAAUCAGGUCAGUAGUGAAAAGCUAUGGCUCAACCGUUGAUGGUCGUUGGAAACUAAUAAACUGGAAUGCAGAGGAGAAAAGUGGAAUUCCUAUUGUAGCGGUGAAAUGCGUAGAGAUUAGGAGGAACACCGGUGGCGAAAGCGGCUUUGUGGCCUGCAACUGACACUGAGGCGCGAAAGCGUGGGGAGCAAACAGG